GCCAGGCAUGGUGGUGCGUGCCUGUAGUCCCAGCUACUCGGGAGGCUGAGGCAGGAGAAUUGCUUGAACCCGGGAGGCAGAGGUUGUGGUGAGCCGAGAUCGCACCACUGCAUUCCAGCCUGGGUAACAGAGCGAGAUUCUGUCUCAA
rfam:Gorilla gorilla gorilla genomic chromosome, chr14, whole genome shotgun sequence